GAUGAACGCUGGCGGCGUGCCUAAUACAUGCAAGUCGAGCGAACAGACGAGGAGCUUGCUCCUCUGACGUUAGCGGCGGACGGGUGAGUAACACGUGGAUAACCUACCUAUAAGACUGGGAUAACUUCGGGAAACCGGAGCUAAUACCGGAUAAUAUAUUGAACCGCAUGGUUCAAUAGUGAAAGACGGUUUUGCUGUCACUUAUAGAUGGAUCCGCGCCGCAUUAGCUAGUUGGUAAGGUAACGGCUUACCAAGGCAACGAUGCGUAGCCGACCUGAGAGGGGGGUAGCCAGCAGGGGAACGGGACCAGGCACAGGACUCCGACGGGAGGAGCCAGUAGGGAAUCUUCCGCAAGGGGGGAAAACCGGACGGAACAGGCCGGAGGGAGUGAUAAAGGUUUUGGGUGCGAAAAACUUUGUUAUGGGGGAAAAAAAAAUUUCAAAUUAAAUAUACACGUCUUGACGGUACCUAAUAAAAAAGCCCCGGCUAACUACGUG
rnacentral:rRNA from 1 species